ACUCAAAGGAAUUGACGGGGGCCCGCACAAGCGGUGGAGCAUGUGGAUUAAUUCGAGGCAACGCGAAGAACCUUACCAAGGCUUGACAUCCCGCUGACAGAGGUAGAGAUACCUAAUUUCUUCGGAACAGCGGAGACAGGUGGUGCAUGGUUGUCGUCAGCUCGUGUCGUGAGAUGUUGGGUUAAGUCCCGCAACGAGCGCAACCCCUAUCUUUAGUAGCCAUCAGGUGAAGCUGGGCACACUAGAGAGACUGCCGUGGAUAACACGGAGGAAGGUGGGGAUGAGGUCAAAUCAUCAUGCCCCUUAUGUCUUGGGCUUCACACGUGCUACAAUGGCUGUAACAAAGUGAGGCGAGCCCGUGAGGGUAAGCAAAGCACAGAAAAGCAGUCUCAGUUCGGAUUGUAGUCUGCAACCCGACUACAUGAAGUUGGAAUCGCUAGUAAUCGCGAAUCAUCAUGUCGCGGUGAAUACGUUCCCGGGCCUUGUACACACCGCCCGU
rnacentral:rRNA from 1 species